rnacentral:rRNA from 1 species
GACGAACGCUGUCGGCGUGCUUAACACAUGCAAGUCGAACGGAAAGGCCCUGCUUUUGUGGGGUGCUCGAGUGGCGAACGGGUGAGUAACACGUGAGUAACCUGCCCUUGACUUUGGGAUAACUUCAGGAAACUGGGGCUAAUACCGGAUAGGAGCUCCUGCUGCAUGGUGGGGGUUGGAAAGUUUCGGCGGUUGGGGAUGGACUCGCGGCUUAUCAGCUUGUUGGUGGGGUAGUGGCUUACCAAGGCUUUGACGGGUAGCCGGCCUGAGAGAGUGACCGGCCACAUUGGGACUGAGAUACGGCCCAGACUCCUACGGGAGGCAGCAGUGGGGAAUAUUGCACAAUGGGCGGAAGCCUGAUGCAGCAACGCCGCGUGCGGGAUGACGGCCUUCGGGUUGUAAACCGCUUUCGCCUGUGACGAAGCGUGAGUGACGGUAAUGGGUAAAGAAGCACCGGCUAACUACGUGCCAGCAGCCGCGGUGAUACGUAGGGUGCGAGCGUUGUCCGGAUUUAUUGGGCGUAAAGGGCUCGUAGGUGGUUGAUCGCGUCGGAAGUGUAAUCUUGGGGCUUAACCCUGAGCGUGCUUUCGAUACGGGUUGACUUGAGGAAGGUAGGGGAGAAUGGAAUUCCUGGUGGAGCGGUGGAAUGCGCAGAUAUCAGGAGGAACACCAGUGGCGAAGGCGGUUCUCUGGGCCUUUCCUGACGCUGAGGAGCGAAAGCGUGGGGAGCGAACAGGCUUAGAUACCCUGGUAGUCCACGCUGUAAACGGUGGGUACUAGGUGUGGGGUCCAUUCCACGGGUUCCGUGCCGUAGCUAACGCUUUAAGUACCCCGCCUGGGGAGUACGGCCGCAAGGCUAAAACUCAAAGGAAUUGACGGGGCCCCGCACAAGCGGCGGAGCAUGCGGAUUAAUUCGAUGCAACGCGUAGAACCUUACCUGGGUUUGACAUGGAUCGGGAGUGCUCAGAGAUGGGUGUGCCUCUUUUGGGGUCGGUUCACAGGUGGUGCAUGCCUGUCGUCAGCUCGUGUCGUGAGAUGUUGGGUUAAGUCCCGCAACGAGCGCAACCCUUGUUCACUGUUGCCAGCACGUUAUGGUGGGGACUCAGUGGAGACCGCCGGGGUCAACUCGGAGGAAGGUGGGGAUGACGUCAAGUCAUCAUGCCCCUUAUGUCCAGGGCUUCACGCAUGCUACAAUGGCUGGUACAGAGAGUGGCGAGCCUGUGAGGGUGAGCGAAUCUCGGAAAGCCGGUCUCAGUUCGGAUUGGGGUCUGCAACUCGACCUCAUGAAGUCGGAGUCGCUAGUAAUCGCAGAUCAGCAACGCUGCGGUGAAUACGUUCCCGGGGCU